AUCAACCGAGAUUCCGCUAGUAGUGGCGAGCGAACGCGGAAGAGGCCAAACCGGAGGAUUUUAUUCUCCGGGGUUGCGGACAGACAUCAUGACCAGAGAAAGUUAGGAGAACGGCGUGGGAAAGCCGGCCACAGAAGGUGAGAGCCCUGUAUCUGAAAAUGAAGACUGGCAGUCUGGAUCCAGAGUACCGCGGGACACGUGAAACCCCGUGGGAAACCGGGUGGACCACCAUCCAAGCCUAAAUACUACCUGAUGACCGAUAGAGGAGCAGUACCGUGAGGGAAAGGUGAAAAGGACCCCGGGAGGGGAGUGAAAGAGAACCUGAAACCUUGUGCUUACAAGCAGUCAAAGCACGUUAAAGUGUGAUGACGUACUUUUUGUAGAACGGUCCGGCGAGUUAUAGUAACGAGCAAGCUUAAGGUAUUGAGUACCGGAGGCGAAGCGAGAGCGAGUCUGAAUAGGGCGUAAAGUUCGUUGCCAUAGACCCGAAACCGGGUGACCUAUCCAUGAGCAGGCUGAAGUGAGAGUAAAAUCUCAUGGAGGGCCGAACCGACCCCCGUUGCAAUGGUGGCGGAUGACUUGUGGAUAGCGGAGAAAUUCCAAUCGAACUCGGAGAUAGCUGGUUCUCCCCGAAAUAGCUUUAGGGCUAGCCUCAUAUUAGAUACCCGGAGGUAAAGCACUGAAUGGCCUAGCGCCCGAGAGGGUAGCGAAGCCUAUCAAACUAAGAAUGCCGGAGUAUUGAUGUAUGGGAGUCAGACAGUGUGAGAUAAAUCUCAUUGUCAAAAGGGAAACAGCCCAGAUCUACAGCUAAGGUCCCAAAUUGUAUCUAAGUGGAAAACGAUGUGGAAAUACGCAGACAACCAGGAUGUUGGCUCAGAAGCAGCCACUCAUUUAAAGAGUGCGUAAUAGCUCACUGGUCGAGCGUCUCUGCGCGGAAAAUUUAACGGGGCUAAGAUACAAACCGAAGCUUAGGCUGCACGAAAGUGCGGGGUAGGGGAGCGUUGUGUAAGCGGAGAAACAGUAGCGUAAGCGGCUGUGGAGUUUACAGAAGUGAGAAUGCCGGAAUGAGUAGCGCGAAUGAUGUGAGAAUCAUCAUGGCCGGAAACCUCAGGUUUUUGGAGGAAGGUUCGUCCGCUCCAAGUUAGGCGGGAGCUAAGGUCAGGCCGAAAGGCGUAGCCGAUGCACAGACGGUAGAGAUUCCGUCCCCACCGAAAGAUUUAAGCACAGGGACACUUUUUGAAGGUCGGAGCCAGGUGUUGGUUCUGGUAGUGAUCGAGGGAAAUAUAGUACCGAAGUCCGGCUGGAUAAGAGGCGAGAAAAGCUGCGUGUAUAUCUAAGGUGCCCGUACCGCAAACCGACACAGGUAGGUAGGAAGAAGAUUCUAAGGCCAACGGGAGAAGGGUUGUUAAGGAACUCGGCAAAUUGACCCCGUAACUUCGGGAGAAGGGGUGCUCCAGAGAUGGAGCCGCAGAGAAUCGGCCCAAGCAACUGUUUACCAAAAACACAGGUUUGUGCUAAAUCGAAAGAUGACGUAUACGAGCUGACGCCUGCCCGGUGCUGGAAGGUUAAGAGGAGAUGUGCAAGCAUUGAAUCGAAGCCCCAGUGAACGGCGGCCGUAACUAUAACGGUCCUAAGGUAGCGAAAUUCCUUGUCAGGUAAGUUCUGACCCGCAUGAAAGGCGUAAUGAUUUGGGCACUGUCUCAACAGCCCGCCCGGCGAAAUUGUAGUACCGGUGAAGAUGCCGGUUACCCGCGACAAGACGGAAAGACCCCAUGGAGCUUUACUGUAGCCUAAUAUUGGGUUUCGAUGUUGCAUGCACAGGAUAGAUGGGACACAGGGAAACAAGUGCUUUGGCAUUUGUGGAGUGGCCGUUGGGAUACCAUCCUUGCGAUAUUGGAAUUCUAACCUGCGCCUUUGAAUCAAGGCGGGGGACAUUGUUAGGUGGGCAGUUUGACUGGGGCGGUCGCCUCCUAAAGAGUAACGGAGGCGUUCAAAGGUUCGCUCAGCUUGAACGGAAAUCAAGCAAAAGAGUGCAAACGCAGAAGCGAGCCUAACUGCGAGACUGACGGGUCGAGCAGUAACGAAAGUUGGAGUUAGUGAUCCGGUGGUAUGUGAGUGGAAAUGCCAUCGCUCAACGGAUAAAAGUUACCCUGGGGAUAACAGGCUGAUCUCCCCCAAGAGUCCACAUCGACGGGGAGGUUUGGCACCUCGAUGUCGGCUCAUCGCAUCCUGGGGCUG
rnacentral:rRNA from 1 species